rnacentral:misc_RNA from 1 species
GAUGAAGAACGCAGCGAAAUGCGAUAAGUAAUGUGAAUUGUAGAAUUCAGUGAAUCAUCGAGUCUUUGAACGCACAUUGCGCCCCCUGGUAUUCCGGGGGGCAUGCCUGUCCGAGCGUCAUUGCUGCCCUCAAGCACGGCUUGUGUGUUGGGCCCCCGCCCCCCGGCUUCGGGGGGCGGGCCCGAAAGGCAGCGGCGGCACCGCGUCCGGUCCUCGAGCGUAUGGGGCUUCGUCACCCGCUCUGUAGGCCCGGCCGGCGCCCGCCGGCGACCCCAAUCAAUCUUUCCAGGUUGACCUCGGAUCAGGUAGGGAUACCCGCUGAACUUAAGCAUAUCAAUAAGCGGAGGA